rnacentral:lncRNA from 1 species
GCCGGGGACGGGGCCGGGGCCUGCGCGGCGACGGGGGAGCGGCGCCCCAGAGCCGCGCCGCGCCGCUUCCUGCCGCUAUAAAUAGCCGCCCGGCCCAACAUGUCCCGGCCGCCGCAGCGGCUGGAGCGCCGGCGGGAGCUGCCGUCCCCUCCCGCCGCGUAGCUCGCCCGGAGCGCGACUGCUCUGUCUCGGGCCGGGACGUGCUCCUCCUGCCUUCCGAAGCCGUCCUCGUGGGGCUGGGAUCCCUCCCUGCUUCCCCCUCGCUUUCCCGCUUUCCCCGGGGUUGGGCGCGUGCCCGGGACGGAGGAUGGUGUUGGCCUCCGGACGCAGCCCCCGGUCCCUCUUGGCGGCUCAGACCGAGCCCCUGCCCGGACCUCCAGGGAGGUGGCUGGUGGCACCCGUGUCCAUCCCUGCUGUGGCACGGCCAAGGCUGUGAAAUCCCGGCCGGUGUGGCAGGGUGGGGAGAGCCGCACCGGGGCCACGCGUGUGGCACCCAAGCGGGGUGCCGCUGUGGGCACUCGUUCAUGCGGGUGUCUGUGUUGCAGCCUUCCUCCCUCAAGUGCUUUCGUCGGCAGCAAAUGUCGAGGUGAGCCUUGUAGUUAGGCUUUAUGGUUGAAGGCAACCAAAGCAGGUCGUCUGCUCUCUCAGCUGGUUCUUGGGGGCUUUUUGAAGGAGCUGAGUUUGGGAACCUCAAGUAAACAGUCUUAAAGUUUUAGCUUGUCUUCCCCUUUUUUUGCCUCUGCUACUCUAAUGGCUGUGCUUCGUCUUUGAAUAAACACCUUCUGCAGUGCAGGACUACAUCCUUUCUCUGAGAGUAGGUGUUCUUCAGCUGCUGCCACGUGCCCUGCUCAGGCCUCUUAUUUAAAACAAAAGUGACACAAUACUUGUCUCUGGCACUAAGGUGUGCUUGUUCAGGAACCCACUGUGAGGUACUUUUAAAUCACUCUUUUAUUCUUGUGCUUCUUCAGACAGGGCUGUAAUAAGCAGCUGUUCUCAGUUGUCUCGACCUCCAGAGGAUGGGCAGUGUGUUUUGCUACUUGUUCACACCCUUUUUCGCUCUCUUCCUACUUUUCCCUCUGUUUCUUCUGUCCGUUAGCUCCUCCAAGCCCAAUAUGGGAGCAGACACCCAAGAGCCCAUGUGAAAAAGAAGAGGUCCUCUCAGAGUGUUUGGCUUCUGCAUGUUCCCCACAGUGUGCCUUGCCUGGGGGCCUUGCCCUUCAGUAAAGGCGGGGGGGAUGGCAGUGCUGCUGUGGGGGGACCUGCUCUGGCAGUGCAUCUUUCCAAGUGCUGUGAAGCACGAGGCAGGCUGAGCUGGCGUGUACUUUCCCCUCUGCCGGAGCGAGCGAAGGGAAGGAGCAUGCGAGGAGGAAAUACAGCUGUUCCAGAGCACUUCUGUCCUCCGUGCAGCGGGAUAACAUGCAGGGAGGACAGACGCAGAAAGGGAGAUUCAGGAAGAGAGUAUGAGAGAGAAUAGGGGGGAACAGAGGAAAGCUACAAAUGGAGAGGAAAAGCUUUUUGUAUGUGCACAACUGUCAUUUAAAGAUCUGUUUGGCGAGGCAAGGGCAAAUAUCCUAAAAGUACAAGAUUGUAUCUCUUGAGUCCCUGUUAUUGUUCUUCCAGAAAGUGCUGCUUUUCGUUCCUCAAGUAUUAUGUGUGUCUGCCUCACUCUUAUAGGCUCUUCAGCAUCCUCUGACCUCCAGCUGAGCAGGACGUUGCCCUUAGCAUCUGCCUGUCAAAUGUGCAGUUCUCCGUGUUGUACAUGAAAUUAUGAUUUCCAUAGUUGGUUAAGGCAAGUUUCUGAGGAAUGUGAAGCGAGAGGCAUGCCAGUUCCUGCGGUUGGCCUUGACUGGAGUGCGAGCUCUUUGGGACAGGGGCUGUGCCCUGGAGGCUGUGGUUACUCUACACAUUGCCCUUGGCAGCUUAGGGUUUUCUGCCUCUGCUCCUGUCCCUCCCACCCCUCUCGGUUUUUUUUAAUUGCUGCUCACCUGUUCCUCCCCCUGUGCUGCAGCUCAUUCAGCCUCUCCCAGUUAUCUGUGGGGUUGUGCUGUAAACUGAAUUGCUGAAAGGUUCAGCAAUCUGGGUUAAAAAUCGCUGGAAAAGGAGAGAGGGGAGGAGGAGCAGCAGCUGCUCCCUCUGCCUGUACAAAAGUCCCUGAUCAGCCCUGUCCUGCCUCUCCCCUGCCUCCUGCUUUGAGAUCACUCACCCCAGCAAAUGGGAAUUAAAAUAGUUGAAGCUCUCUAGCUGUGUCCUAACUUCUGCUGCUGCCUUAGUAUAUCUACUGAAAUUACACUUUGAACUUUCUACAGCAUUAGUUUACUCUCUGAAUGGCAACAGGUAGCAAGGUGCUGUCUUUGGGGGCUGCAUUGCUACAAGACUAUUAGACCUUUUUUUAGAGGGAGAGAGAAAAAAAAAAGAGAGAAACCCAGAGUUAUUACAAAAUUGGAUCAGGGUUCUACUUGUGCACUAGAGUCAGGAUUGAAAGUGUGCAUCUAGAAAAAGGUAUUGGCUAUAGAAGGAGCAAUUUCCCACCUGUGACAACAGGUAUGACCCUUACAUCUGAUGACCUCCAGACCCUCCUCAGUGGAGAGGCCACUGAGGAGCAUGAGCAAUGCUAACCCCUUUGUGAAGGAAACAUGCUGCAGUAUUGCUCGCCAUUACCUAGAGUGCAUAAAGUCCUAACAGCUAUUAGUUUUCUGCCUUGCUUGUAUAAACACCAAGCUUUUCUGGAGGGAGAAAAGAGUGUAUGUUGGUGUUGUCUGACAAAUAUGACACAAGGACAGGAAUUCAAAGGUUUCCUUUGGAGGCAUGUAUAUUGUUCUUGGUCUAUAUAUACAAUUUAGUAAAAAGUCUUCAUGCAGCAGCCUUUAGAAAUGUUCUGUGCUUUUAACUACGUUGAAUCUCCACCCGGAUAAUGGACUUAAUGUAUGGAAACCUUGAGAAAUAGUGAUGCAACGAAGAGGGGAGGAUUUCUUUAAAGUUUGUGGCUUUUGCCCAGGUAAACAUGUCUUAAUUGUAGCUUCUUAACAACAAUGAAGUGUUAUCAAAAUUCAAAUCUGAUUAAAUGCUUUUGUGUUCUUUCUGCUGACUUCUCUUAUUCUUGGGUCUAAUGUGGAUGCUUCCUCCUUUUCUUCAUGUGGUGCACUCUAACACUUGUUCUGUUGGAUCUGUUAUAAAAAGGGACUGUUGCGUAUCUUGGUUCAAAAUCCAUGGUGCUAACCCUAUUUGAGUAGGGAUGGGGAGAGCAUUCUUUGUAUGGGGAGAUAGUUAAGUUUUGGGUUGGUAGAACAGAUCUCAGUAGUACCAAAGGUGAGGAUACUGGAAGUGGCCAUCAAUCUUCAAGGCAGCUGUCUCUUCUGUGUGCCAUUGCGUGUGCAGUUAACACCUACUUGUUGUUCAGCUCCUUACUUCAAAGAUGUACGUGAAAUUCUGUCUGUUAUUGAAUAAUAAAUGCUGAACUGUUAGUUGGCAAAUAGC